UAGCAUAAUCAUUAGUUUUUUAAUUGAAAACUUGUAUGAAUGGUUGGACAAAGAAAAAGCUGUCUCUUUUAUUUGAAUUGAAAUUAACUUCUAAGUGAAAAGGCUUAGAUUUUUUAGAGGGACGAUAAGACCCUAUAAAGCUUUAUAAGUUAAGUAAGUUAAAUUAAUUUUUUAAAAUAAAAAUAAGCUUAAAAAAUUUAUUUGGUUGGGGCGACAAUGGUAUAAAUUAAAUAACUGCUAUUAAAAUUAAGCAAUUAUAUUUGAUUAGAAUUAUAAUUGAUCCUUAUUAUGGAUUAAAAGAUCAAGUUACUUUAGGGAUAACAGCGUAAUUUCUUUUGAGAGUUCUUAUCAAAGAAGAAGUUUGCGACCUC
rnacentral:rRNA from 1 species